UGAACAGUAGCAGAGUUUAGAGUUCCUGAUCGAUAGACCGACAGACCGGCGAGCUGAGGGAGCGAAGUGUGUGGGAAAGUGUAAAGAAGUAACAUAUCUGAUGUAGCGUUUACAAGGAACUCGGAGUGGUGGCGUGAAUGGGUGUGUGAACAGUAGUAACAUUACGCGGAUGAACACUGGACACGUCUGUCAUCGUACCAAUUCAGUGCUGCUUCUUCGGACGCUAGAAAUUGUACGGUGUUAGCAAGAAAUGUGUGAAGUAUGACUGUCUUUUGAUAUUUUUAAUAUAGGCAUGCUACAGUAUAUGCAGUAAAAGUUGCAUAGUCUCUCUGCAGAGACCUUACUUGUGUGUAUACGAAAGACACGUCAUGUGAAUUUUGUGUUGCAAGAGUUCAAAAUAAUUGGCGCAGUGAGAUUUUUCUUACCCCAUUCGAUCUCUCUUACUAUAAGGGGCCAAAGAAGUGUUUACGCUAGCGUUAUCUUGCGGAACAUCGGGAGACAUGCCCGCUUAGUAAUGGCUGACACCUUAAACGAUCGACACGCAAUUCGACACAGUCUAUUUGCUGUUCGUAUUAAUGUAACAAUAUGAAAUUUGAUGACAGUGGAUAAUAUACGGUGUGUAGGUGACUAUGGAACAUGUUAGAAUUGUAUGAUGGUAGCAUAUCAGUGUAUGACCCGUGUGAUAUUCUUUUUUUGUUUCGAACGACAGCAGCGACGGUAACGACGUCGGUGGUGAUAUAAUGGUACUAUAAUAUAAAUAUGGCGACAGUCGGCGCCUUUUAACUGGCAUGGCGCUAAUAUCAAGGGGCCCCGGACCCCCUCUCUGGGCCCCAUUUGGAAUCAUCCUACUCUUGCUGCUUCUUAUGGCGGGAACAGUUACGUCGGAAAAGAACAAAUACUAUCACAUGUCAUCGCUCUGCAAGAACCACUUCCUGGCGCUGCUGUACCGGAAGAUAGACGGAGCUGUGCUGCAGUCUCAGAACGAGAGGAACCUCGAUUGCGUCAUCACCUUCCAGACCCAUUCCAUUCUGCAGCGCUUCAUGCUGCGGUUCGAUCUCCUGCAGCUGGACUGCAAUGACCAUCUUUUCAUAUACGACGGUGCCCAUGCCGUCGGAAGCUACAAGUCGGACCUUUCAUGUCGAAACACCAAGCAGACAGUGGGCGCCAUCUAUACGAGGACCAACUUUGUGACGCUAAAGUACGUCACAGACGGGUGGGGAACGGAGUCCAACGGCUUCAAACUCGUCAUCACAGCGUUCAAAGACAAAAAACACACGUGUGAAGACUUCAGGUGUAACCGGGAAAUCUGCAUACACACCGACCUGGUAUGUGACGAGGUGAAUCACUGUGGAGACGGCUCGGACGAGCUGAGCAGUGAUGGCUGCACGCCGAACGAGCUGGGCUCGGUGCUGGGCAUGAACUCCCUCAUCUUCGUCGUGGUGGUCGUGAGCACCGUCCUGAUUAUAUGCGCAGCGGUGGUUGCCCUAGCCGUCUGCAUCUGUCGGCGUGACAGUCACCACGGCCGACCUCCACACCUCCAGUCCACGCAGCAGCAGCCACCAAAUGCGUCAUUCCCAUUGCAACAGAUGUACGGGUCGAACGGCGCAGGAACGUUGACCAGCUGCACCAUGGUGAAGCCUCUGCCUCCUCCGGGAAACUGGCGUCACCCUGCGGGGCUUCGGCUCGGGUACAGCGCGGCCCGGGUCCGCCUCUACUGCCAGGCAAAGUGAGGAGCUCGGGCUCCGACAGUGACAUUUCCUCCAGUCAAAAGGACGAAUGGUUCGUGUAGAGGUUGACCUGGUCCAAUGCCCUGCAGGGUGAAGUCCGAGUCGGUAGGAGUACCCUCUACCGGUCGGCACCGCAACUAAUCUCGGAUAGUUGCUUUGAAAUUUCUUCCACCAGCAGACGUCACUCUUGAGAUGCUGGUAGGAGAGAGAACAUUAGAUACUUGUUUCCUGUGUGCAGAGAAGAAACAGUCAAGUCUGAAGAAGAGCAAAUCGACAGUGAUUUAGGAAUAAUAUGACUUGAAGUUACGCAUGGAAUUCUAAAGUUUAAGUUAAGGAGAUAAAUAGAGAAAACAGGGGAAAAUGGGGCUACAAAUGAAACGUAUAGAGUAGAAACAAACAACUGAACGUCGCUUUCCAGGGUUGAAAACAAAACAAUAAAAUGAAUCUGCAUUAACUAUUUGCUGACAAGUGCCUGUUUAAUGUCACAACAAUAGACGCCAGAACAUCAGCAGCAGAAACAACAAAAGAAGAUCAAGAAGUCAGAAUAAGAAACAUAUGUUGCAACAUCUUUAUUAUUAUUAUUAUUUUAUCAUGUGCCGUACGAAGCGAACUGUUGCAAAUUUAGGAGGUGUUGUAAGCAUAGGUUCUACUUUUUUACACGAUUUGCCUGAGUUUAAUUCUCGCUGUCCUUCAAAAGAAUCAGGAUGCAGCAACAAUAAUGAUGAUAUCUCUUUCCACUGUUGCCAGAGAACAAUGACGUCAGUAACAAAAUAUCAAGGGAAGUGUUACGCCGAAACCAAGAACCAAAUUAACUGAUCUGUGUGUCCAGGAUAAGGACAUUUCCUUAACUUAUGUUUAUUUAUGACAGUUACUACAUGCCCUGUAUCAUUAUGCCGUACACCUCACAGUCCUUUCGAAUUUGCAGAUAUUUAAAAGCAGACUUUAUAAAGAUCAAGAGCUACUUGAAAAUUAUCCUGCAUUCGAAAGGAAAAUUUCACACUAGGAAAAUAUUUGUAUACUAUUACUGACUAUUAAUAAUAUAUCAUCGUCAUCAUUAUCAUCAUCACAAGUUAGGUUUUUUGAGGUAAUAACAUUUUAGAGAACUGUUUUCGUUGAAUCAUAAGAAAUGUUCAUGUAAGAAAAAUGUUAUUAAGUUUACUGAUUAUGAAUCCAAACAUUAUCAUCAGCCACAUACUGCCUGCCACCCAGAGCAGAGGACGGUUCCAGACAAUAGCCAAAGAACAGCAAAGAGUUUUGUAAAUGACUCUGAUGUGGAACGAUUUAUCUGUUACGACCGCUUGAUAACUGAUGGAUUCUUCAAAUAGGGUGGCUAUUAAUUGUAAGACAGUGUAAUUCUAAGGUAUGAUUUCAGUGUCUGUUCCUCUGUUAGUUCAUAUGGCAUUCGAUGACGCCUGGUGUUUUUGCAAUGUAGAGACUGGCGUUGUUGACAGGACAGUUCUGCGAAAACCACAUGAUUUAAUUUGACCAGUACAUUUAAAUAUUAAAAUGUUUCACGCAAGAACUAGCACGUGCUUUCAGGAAGAGAAACGGGCUAUCCCAGUUUGGCUUCAAAAUGCAAGAUUCUGCUGUCAGUAUAUAUUUAUAAUUCACUAGAAACACCUGCGCCCCCUUCGUUUUGCCUCUUAAAUAGGGGUGAUCACUUUGAGGUAUAAUGAAUAUCAGUGGUAAAAGGGAAACAAUUAGAUUAUGUUAAUUUUAGCUCAGUAAGUAGUAAAUCGUUCCAUCUGUAACACGGGAAGGCAUUAUACAUGGAGUUAUCCAGACAGCGGAACCCUCAAGCGAAAUUCGAGUACUUAGUUGGCCUUACUUGGCGGGGGAGCGCCCGAACCCUCCACUUGCGUCCGCACUCGCAUGGAUACGUCCUGUAUUAUUCUAGUCUUAAAGAAUCUUCAAGGCACCGUAUUGAGAAGCCUUUUCGUGUUUUGUGCGAAUCAGACAUCUAUAUUUCGCAUUCCUUAUUAAGAACAUAUCAAAACCACUCUGCUACAGAUGAAUUAAAACUCUGUGGAGAGGGUUCAAAUAUUAUAAGUACAAUCACAAAUAAUAUCAGUAGAUUAAUUAAAGAAUUGUCCCUCCGUAAGUGAUUAAAAUAUUUGUGAGUGAUAAACAUCGUAUGCUAUAUUUCACGUGUUUUAAAAUUUCAGAUUAACAUUGUGGUCAUCUGGAUUACAACACUGUGCAGUUACAUUGGUGGUUGUCGCUGAUGUGGUAACAGAUUACGAAUCUAUCAGGUAACAUGUACCCAACAGACUAGGAUCUCAUGCUAUGUGUUUUGUUGUUUAUGACGUGUAUAUAAAUAGCAUACUUAAGUCCGUAUUAAAGCAUUUAAUUUCAAAUAAUGAUGAUUAUAGAUCCACCUGGAGCACGUGUUACAGUUAUAUGCGUUGGCUGUACAUUUUUAUUUGUGGGGAAUUUAUUUGACCCAAUCUUUGUUUUCUAAGAAAUACUUGAAAUGUUAGAAUCAACAGCAAUACACGUAUAUGACUCUUUCUUAAUUUGAAUAUUUCAAUAAAAUUUGUAUCCUAAUGUGAUUUUAGGGACCUUUUUUAAUAAUUCUAAUAUAUUAUUAAGCACACGAUACUUCAGAACGUACUUGGGGUGAUUUAUUUAGUUUGUUUCAGAAUGAAAAUUGAGAAACUAGACUCGGGUAGCAUAUUAGGUCCAUAACUUUCGUAUUUAUCCGUUUGUUUUCACCCUAGAAGUUCCAAAAUUACUUUUAUUCAUUGUGGCCACAUAUAUUCAAUUGGCAAAAUUAUGCAUGAAUUUAUAUGCAUCAUUUUAACGUUGGUAAGAUGGAACAGAGGAAAACGAAUCAUGAAACCUUCGGAAGACUAGAUUACACAUUCAAUUAGGAACACUUCCAAAUGAUCUUUGAGUUGUGGAAUCUGAAGUUAUUCUCAUCGCAUUCAAUUUGUUUUGCUACACAGGAAAUAGCAAAGAAUAAAAUGAAGCUCUGUGUGGGAAUGCACAACGCUGAUAAUAGGUUUCAGUGGUAUGACCAAGCAGAAAGAAAUGUCGUGCUCGGAUGUCAUACUGUUUUAAAACCUGUGAAAUUUAGACGUCACGUUAUAUGAAAUUUUCGACCACAUUGUUCAGGAGGUUGAAGUAAACACAUACAGAAUUACUGAUUCUUCAAGAUUGCUAGUAGAAUUCUUCAAAUCAUGUAUAAAGAUCUGAUCUAAAUAAAUAUAUCUUUUAUAGCCUGCCUAUCAGACAUUAAUUUGUCUUUGACGCGCCUACUAAUGAAAAUUUUGUUAGUAAAGAAAAGCAAGUAUUCGAACAAAUGUUUAAAAUUUUAUUUGAAGCAUAUUUUCAAAGAUUUUUUCAAACAGGACUAAAAGUAGUAGGACGAAUUUUGGGAGACUUGGAGUUGUAGAUAUUGAUAGAAAUUUCAUACUAAAUAAUGGUCAAAUUAAUUUGUGUGGUUUUGCAACAAUUAGUGGUCAGGUUGAAACAAAUAAGAAUUUCUGACCUAGAAAACGUGGGUGUGCUGAGUGUUCUGCAUAGCUUGUCCUGUCUUCGUAAUUAUUACAUCAUAGAGACUUUAUUUUUGACACUUUAAUGACAAAAAUACGCAGAGAAACUCUUGGUAGUGUUUUGUUUAGCUGUGUCUGUGUGAGAUCACCUGGUGGUUCUGUGUGUGUGUGCGGUGUGUUCGCGAGAUUACUGCAGACCUGGAGCACACUGCCUAAUGGCGACCGAAAGAGAACGUGGCAAAUAUUUACAGAUAUGACGUUCUGCGAAACCCCCACUAGUGUCCUGGAGGUGUCAUGCUUCUAAAAUUGCGUUGCUAUUGGUCUUCUUUAGAAGCAUUCCUGGCCCACAUGAAUUUUAAUAAAGCUGUUAUAACCUCUUCGUUAUGGACUGCGUAUUUUAUUACAAAAAGACACAGAAAGAAACCUAAAGGGGACUUUGCAUAUCGCUUAGGUCCCUUAAGAAUUUAAACCACUCCGCACUUAUUUAUUUAAGUACAGUGAGUAUUAUGGACCACGCAGGAGCGAACACGGGUUAUGUGUUGGCCCCACUUGUGGCGAACAAUCUCGGACCCAUCAGCUGGAGUCCGUGCUCUCAGGAAAAUUCUCUGUCAAUACCGGCUAGCUGGAUCUCAACGCCGUGUGCAUGCUGCAACUUCUCUGACACAAUAGGUAGACGGGUCAGUCUUCUUAGGGGUUUGCAAGUCAUGGAUUUUUAAUGGCGUUGCACGCUCCGAAAUCUGCCCGAGAUCUCAUUUCAGUUUAAGCGUGAGUUUUGUGCGUAAGUAAGUCAUGAAAUUGUCGUUUGUAGUUUAAAAAUUAGGCAGAUUGGAUGGCUGCUUACUCGUAUAUGCUUCGUUUUGCAGAACUUGUAAUUGAAAGAUUUGCGUUUAAGUUACAACUUUCAUGGGUUUAUUGUCAGUCUCAUAAUUUUAAUAAAUUAUUUUCAAGUACCUGCAUAGUAAAUAAGAGCAACAUUCAUAUGAAGCAGAUUUGUAAUAGUCUGUAAUUAUAUACAAACCUAAAACGAAAAAAACUCUGUCUUAUUUUCUGUUCAAUGCAUACCUACAGGUCUAUUAGCAGUGGGGGAAGGUGACUAAAUCGAAGUCCGGAUCUAGGCAGUGUGCUACAGGUACAGAGAAACAAUAGCCUAAUAUUAUUGUCGCGAUACUAUUCUCUGUUUGAAUAUAAAUAUAAACAUUGGCUACGAAAUACUUCCCAGGCUACUGUAUGGAGUUUCGGAAUCCUGGGAAAUCAAGCGCCAAAUUCGUAUUAUGGUCUAAAUAUAAUUUCUGACAAAAUGUUUUGUGUGUGAAACAUACAAGAGAGUUUCAUGUAGGAUAUUUCAUACUGUUUUUUACUGUGUGCAAGGAAAAAUUAGCCAACUUUUCAUUAAAAACGUUGCGCUGUCGCUUUUUCUACGAAGCAGAAUGAAAGUAAUUAUAUCUUUCCAUUUCGUAAGUUCUUAAUGCAAGUUUAUGUAAGACAAAAAAAAAAUGUUAAAAGUCUAGUGAGGUUUACAUGUUGAUUAUUGCUUGUGCACAUAUCCGCACGAAUGUGUCCAUACAUGACCGCCUUUGGUCAUUGCAUGCUAAGAACAAUAUUACAAACACGUAUCUGAUGGUCAGAGUAGGCCACCUAUGGCUGUAGCUUUCUACACUAUUGUACUAGCGCUUAAUGCCUGCAUAGAUUUUAUCACUGGAAUGUAAAAUUAAUAUUUUGAGGAACACAGUUAACACACAAAUCACAUUUACGUGGGAAAGCUAUGAGAUCCUUGUGUUCACGGUGUAACUAUGAUAGUAGAAUGCUGGCUACACCCCUUCGUAUCCAUAUCACUCACAAGCAUAUCACUGCAACACACAUACAUACCAGUUACACCAAGGCGACAAUGUUUGACUGUGUUUAACCCUGCAUUGCACUCACAUAAUGUACACCCCCCACCCCUUUCUUUCCUUAUGACCGUCUGAAUUGUGACGGUCAGUACCAUCCCCUGUGCAGGUCCUAUAGAGGAAAGGACUGAGUCUGGAAACACAUGUGAUGCAAACCUCUGUUCUGUCCCAUUAUGAAACGAGAUGAGCUUUGGAGAGUCCUUCAGAUCACUGCUUUGGAUUUCUGUCAUCAUUUCAUUUCCCACUGGCAGCAGAAUGUGUACUUUUAGCCCGUGAGAGUAAAGACAGGACCCCACUGACUAUCUAUUUUGUGACAACAAAAUAUGAAUUUCAAAAAAUUUCGAUACGAACGCAAAAUUUUCUAUAAUCAGCAUGCUUGUAGGCUGUACCUGUUUCGAAGUUAAUAUCAAAGUAUAACGACUUUUGUGAACAGCCAAAAGUAACAAAUAUACUCGCUUUUAAUAUUUUACUAUUCGACUUUUUAUUGCUGCUACAUGUUUCGGUCCUACAAGACCAUCACCAGGCAGUUAUAUAUAUGAAUACGUACAGUUACUGAACUGCUAUAUGGAUCCAUACCACUGCAACGUGUCAUAUUAUAUACUGACAUAAAGUUUUGCCUCAAGUUGGUGUUAGAAUUAAAAUAUAAGCUACAAAAUAAGAUAAAAGAAUGUAAUAAUGAAAUAUAGACCAAGUGUCAAGAUAUAUUGGGUGAUAUAAAUGUUGAAUAUAUUAUCGAAAUGUUAAAAGUAUGUUCAAAAUAUUUAAAACUAUGGGGAGUACGGGAAAUUAAGGCAAAACUUUGUGUUAGUAUAUAAUACAGCACGUUGCACCGAUGUGGAUCCAUAUCGGUAGUUCAGUAACUGUACAUAUUCCUAUAUAUAAGUGCCUGAUGAUGGUCUUGUACACCCGAAAAAUGUAGCAGGAAUAAAGAUGGAAUUGUAAAACAUUAAGGACGAGAACAUUUGUUGUGGUGACAAUUAACCUAAUUCCUGCUGGUUAAGUAAAAUCUUGCCUUGUUUUUGUCAUGCAAAUGUGAACUUCUCUACUGCUCAGUGGACUGGAGAUUCUUAAGGUGGUGACAUCACAAGAGAUAGUACGCCUCAGUAUUGUAGCUAUAUAUGGCUUUAGAAAAGGGUUACGAGCUUUAACGUUUAUAGUACUCACUUAAAUGAGUACAAGAUUCCCAGUUAACACACGUCCAGAAUUCAAUGCCAACUGAAAGAUGGGCGAGUUUUUGUAUAUGACCGGAUGCUAGGGUGGGCAUCUUAGCUAGUCACCUCUUGGGACCAUUUGUCAUACCUGAUAGACUAACAGGUAGUGUGUGCCGUCGUAUUUUGGUGAAUGAUGUUGCAGUGCCCUUGGAACAGGUGCCUCUUCACCAGUGAUAACACACGCGGUUCAUGCAUGCUGGAGUAUCGCCCCAUUCUUUCGUUUUUUUUUCAGUCAGCGCAUCAACCAGGUUUUCCAUGAACGGUUGAUCGGUUGCGGAGGUCCAGCCAACCGGCCUGCACGAUCACUUGACCUUAAUCUUGACCUGUAUCAGGCCUUGGAGGCCCAUAGGGUUCUAAGAUAUUGAGGUUCUCAAUUUUUCUAGACAAUCGCAUCAUACAU